rnacentral:rRNA from 1 species
CCUGGCUCCCGUUGAGCGCUAGCUACAGGCUUAACACAUGCAAGUCGAGGGUCAGCAUGGUCUUAGCUUGCUAAGGCCGAUGGCGACCGGCGCACGGGUGAGUAACACGUAUCCAACCUGCCGUCUACUCUUGGACAGCCUUCUGAAAGGAAGAUUAAUACAAGAUGGCAUCAUGAGUCCGCAUGUUCACAUGAUUAAAGGUAUUCCGGUAGACGAUGGGGAUGCGUUCCAUUAGAUAGUAGGCGGGGUAACGGCCCACCUAGUCUUCGAUGGAUAGGGGUUCUGAGAGGAAGGUCCCCCACAUUGGAACUGAGACACGGUCCAAACUCCUACGGGAGGCAGCAGUGAGGAAUAUUGGUCAAUGGGCGAGAGCCUGAACCAGCCAAGUAGCGUGAAGGAUGACUGCCCUAUGGGUUGUAAACUUCUUUUAUAAAGGAAUAAAGUCGGGUAUGGAUACCCGUUUGCAUGUACUUUAUGAAUAAGGAUCGGCUAACUCCGUGCCAGCAGCCGCGGUAAUACGGAGGAUCCGAGCGUUAUCCGGAUUUAUUGGGUUUAAAGGGAGCGUAGAUGGAUGUUUAAGUCAGUUGUGAAAGUUUGCGGCUCAACCGUAAAAUUGCAGUUGAUACUGGAUAUCUUGAGUGCAGUUGAGGCAGGCGGAAUUCGUGGUGUAGCGGUGAAAUGCUUAGAUAUCACGAAGAACUCCGAUUGCGAAGGCAGCCUGCUAAGCUGCAACUGACAUUGAGGCUCGAAAGUGUGGGUAUCAAACAGGAUUAGAUACCCUGGUAGUCCACACGGUAAACGAUGAAUACUCGCUGUUUGCGAUAUACUGCAAGCGGCCAAGCGAAAGCGUUAAGUAUUCCACCUGGGGAGUACGCCGGCAACGGUGAAACUCAAAGGAAUUGACGGGGGCCCGCACAAGCGGAGGAACAUGUGGUUUAAUUCGAUGAUACGCGAGGAACCUUACCCGGGCUUAAAUUGCAGAUGAAUUACGGUGAAAGCCGUAAGCCGCAAGGCAUCUGUGAAGGUGCUGCAUGGUUGUCGUCAGCUCGUGCCGUGAGGUGUCGGCUUAAGUGCCAUAACGAGCGCAACCCUUGUUGUCAGUUACUAACAGGUUCCGCUGAGGACUCUGACAAGACUGCCAUCGUAAGAUGUGAGGAAGGUGGGGAUGACGUCAAAUCAGCACGGCCCUUACGUCCGGGGCUACACACGUGUUACAAUGGGGGGUACAGAGGGCCGCUACCACGCGAGUGGAUGCCAAUCCCCAAAACCUCUCUCAGUUCGGACUGGAGUCUGCAACCCGACUCCACGAAGCUGGAUUCGCUAGUAAUCGCGCAUCAGCCACGGCGCGGUGAAUACGUUCCCGGGCCUUGUACACACCGCCCG